rnacentral:tRNA from 1 species
UAAAAGAUAAGCUAAAAAAGCUAAUGGGCUCAUACCUCAUCUAUGAUUCUAUCUCUUUUAA